rnacentral:rRNA from 1 species
GUGAACGCUGGCGGUAGGCCUAACCCAUGCAAGUCGAACGGCAGCACAGUAAGAGCUUGCUCUUACGGGUGGCGAGUGGCGGACGGGUGAGGAAUACAUCGGAAUCUACUUUUUCGUGGGGGAUAACGUAGGGAAACUUACGCUAAUACCGCAUACGACCUACGGGUGAAAGCAGGGGAUCUUCGGACCUUGCGCGAUUGAAUGAGCCGAUGUCGGAUUAGCUAGUUGGCGGGGUAAAGGCCCACCAAGGCGACGAUCCGUAGCUGGUCUGAGAGGAUGAUCAGCCACACUGGAACUGAGACACGGUCCAGACUCCUACGGGAGGCAGCAGUGGGGAAUAUUGGACAAUGGGCGCAAGCCUGAUCCAGCCAUACCGCGUGGGUGAAGAAGGCCUUCGUGUUGUAAAGCCCUUUUGUUGGGAAAGAAAAGCAGCAGGUUAAUACCCCGCUGUUCUGACGGUACCCAAAGAAUAAGCACCGGCUAACUUCGUG